CCCCACACACAUCUACAUACAGGAUCAGGUUGAAAUAGAUAAAACAAUGGUGUAUGUACAUGUUUUGGUUUUCUCCACUUAUGAGUCACUCAGUUCAAUAUCAAUCUGUCAUGCUAAAAAAGGGCUGAGUUGCAAAAUCGUACAGGAAAUAUGGUGCAUCACAAUAUCACUUUACAGCAUCGCAUGUGUAAUGGCUUGAACAUUGCUUCAAGUGGUCCAGAGAGAUCACUCUCAGCCAGGGGAGUAGCCAGGAGUUAAUUUCAAGAGGCGGGUGGAAAUGUACUAUACAACAUUAUAUUGUGAAAUGUGACAUGCUCAUGCUUUUUGGGUGGAUGCCGGACAGUAGGAGUAGGGGAAGCAUGCAUGAUUCUGAUUGGUUAAAUCUGGUGCUCGCAAUAGCAUUAAAAUGUUAAUAAACAAACUCAGGCUAUUUGAGUAUGAAAUUGUAAUGGAAUCUUUUAUGAACAUCAUUACAUACAACAUAACUUGAUGCGUAUAUAUAUUCAGUUAUAAGCACCCACAAGUAAGCAUUUGGAACUGAUAUAAAAUAUUUCAGGGGGGUUCAAACCCAAAAUCCAGCCCUCUAGCGACGCCUCAGCUCUCAGUCAACAUCAGUUUAUUAAAAGCACUGCUUUCUCUCUUUUAUACCUGUUUUUUCUUAACAAAAGGAGGCUUAGGCUACUUAUGCAUGUGAUUUGUGAGAUCAAAUCGUAGCCAGGUGUCUGAAAGAGAGCAUUACUGUCCGGCUCGCUGUGUGGGAACGACAGCCUUUCUCCCUCGACCUGUCAAUCAGUGUGACAUGAGGAAACUUGUUCAACUUCACCCUCUCUGAAUGGUAGCUGUGAGACUGGCUAUGACUGAACUGGAGAAGAAAAUUCCCGUUUUUCCAGUUCCCGUUAUUCAUGUUCCUGUUUUACAUGUUAUAGAACAGAGAUUGAUUAAUGGCACAUGUCAUUACGUCCCCACACCACGCCAUCCGACGUUCCCUCCAGAAUUUCGAAAUACAGUUCGUCUUCGUUAUGGUACCGUAUACAGUUUUGGGUGUUUUUUAUUUAAAAUUUUACAAAAGCUUCAAGUGCAGUUAAUUAUUUGUCAUGCUAUACGUGCAAUUGGACGACUGCUUGAAGCCGUGGGCUGCGUCCAAAACCACGUACUUACCUGCUAUAUAGUAGCUGAGAUACAUGUAUUUCACCUACUAUAUGCAUGUAUUUCACCUACUAUUUAGUAGGUGAAAUACUUGUAUAUAGUAGGUGAAAUACUUGUAUAUAGCAGGUGAAAUACAUGUAUAUAGUAGGUGAAAUACAAGUUUUUUGGCUACGAUAUAGUAGGUGAAAUACUUGUAUAUAGUAGAAUAAGUGUAUAUAGUAGGUAAAAUACAUGAAUAUAGUAGGUGAAAUACAUGUAUAUAGUAGGUGAAAUACAUGUAAGUAGUAGGUGAAAUACAUGUAUAUAGUAGAAUACGUGUAUAUAGUAGGUGAAAUACACAUGUUUUGGCUACUAUAUAGUAGGUGAAAUACAUGUAUGUAGUACAAUACGUGUAUAUAGUAGGUGAAAUACUUGUACAUAGUAGGUGAAAUACAUGUAUAUAGUAGAAUACGUGUAUAUAGUUGGUGAAAUACUUGUAUAUAUUAGGUGAAAUACACGUAUUUCGGCUACAAUAUAGUAGAUGAAAUACAUGUAUAUGGUAGAAUACAUGUAUAUAGUAGGUGAAAUACAUGUAUAUAGUAGAAUACGUGUAUAUAGUAGGUGAAAGACAUGUAUAUAGUAGAAUACGUGUAUAUAGUAGGUGAAAGACAUGUAUAUAGUAGGUGAAAUACGUGUAUAUAGUUGGUGAAAUACUUGUAUAUAUUAGGUGAAAUACACGUAUUUCGGCUACAAUAUAGUAGGUGAAAUACAUGUAUAUGGUAGAAUACAUGUAUAUAGUAGGUGAAAUACAUGUAUACAGUAGGUGAAAUACAUGUAUAUAGUGGAAUACGUGUAUAUAGUAGGUGAAAUACACGUUUUUUGGUUACGAUAUAGUAGAUGAAAUACAUGUAUAUGGUAGAAUACAUGUAUAUAGUAGGUGAAAUACAUGUAUAUAGUAGAAUACGUGUAUAUAGUAGGUGAAAUACAUGUAUAUAGUAGGUGAAACACACGUAUUUCAGCUACGAUAUAGUAGGUGAAAUACAUGUAUAUGGUAGAAUAUAUGUAUAUAGUAGGUGAAAUACAUGUAUACAGUAGGUGAAAUACAUGUAUAUAGUAGGUGAAAUACACGUUUUUUGGUUACGAUAUAGUAGGUGAAAUACAUGUAUAUAGUAGAAUACGUGUAUAUAGUAGGUGAAAGACAUGUAUAUAGUAGGUGAAAUACGUGUAUAUAGUUGGUGAAAUACUUGUAUAUAUUAGGUGAAAUACAUGUAUAUAGUAGGUGAAAUACAUGUAUAUAGUAGAAUACAUGUAUAUAGUAGGUGAAAGACAUGUAUAUAGCAGGUGAAAUACAUGUAUAUAGUAGGUGAAAUACACGUAUUUCGGCUACGAUAUAGUAGGUGAAAUACAUGUAUAUAGUAGAAUACAUGUAUAUAGUAGGUAAAAUACAUGUAUAUAGUGGAAUACGUGUAUAUAGUAGGUGAAAUACAUGUAUAUAGUAGGUGAAACACACGUAUUUCGGCUACGAUAUAGUAGGUGAAAUACAUGUAUAUGGUAGAAUACAUGUAUAUAGUAGGUAAAAUACAUGUAUAUAGUAGAAUACGUGUAUAUAGUAGAAUACGUGUAUAUAGUAGGUGAAAUACACAUAUUUCGGCUACGAUAUAGUAGGUGAAAUACAUGUAUAUAGUAGAAUACGUGUAUAUAGUAGGUGAAAUAUAUGUAAGCAAUAGGUGAAAUACAUGCAUAUAGUAGGUGAAACACACGUAUUUCAGCUACGAUAUAGUAGGUGAAAUACAUGUAUAUGGUAGAAUACAUGUAUAUAGUAGGUAAAAUACAUGUAUAUAGUAGAAUACGUGUAUAUAGUAGAAUACGUGUACAUAGUAGGUGAAAUACAUGUAUAUAGUAGAAUACGUGUAUAUAGUAGGUGAAAUACACGUAUUUCGGCUACGAUAUAGUAGGUGAAAUACAUGUAUAUAGUAGAAUACAUGUAUAUAGUAGGUGAAAUAUAUGUAAGCAAUGGGUGAAAUACAUGCAUAUAGUAGGUGAAACACGUAUUUCAGCUACGAUAUAGUAGGUGAAAUACAUGUAUAUAGUAAAAUACAUGUAUAUAGUAGGUGAAAUACUUGUAUAUAGUAGGUCAAAUACUUGUAUAUAGUAGAAUACGUGUAUAUAGUAGGUGAAAUACAUGUAUAUAGUAGGUGAAAUACAUGUAAGUAAUAGGUGAAAUACAUGUAUAUAGUAGGUGAAACACACGUAUUUCAGCUACGAUAUAGUAGGUGAAAUACAUGUAUAUAGUAGGUGAAAUACAUGUAUAUGGUAGAAUACGUGUAUAUAGUAUGUGAAAUACAUGUAUAUAGUAGGUGAAAAACUUGUAUAUAGUAGAAUACGUGUAUAUAGUAGGUGAAAUACAUGUAUAUAGUAGGUGAAAUACACGUAUUUCGGCUACGAUAUAGUAGGUGAAAUACAUGUAUAUGGUAGAAUACAUGUAUAUAGUAGGUAAAAUACAUGUAUAUAGUAGAAUACGUGUAUAUAGUAGGUGAAAUACAUGUAUAUAGUAGGUGAAAUACACGUAUUUCGGCUACGAUAUAGUAGGUGAAAUACAUGUAUAUAGUAGAAUACAUGUAUAUAGUAGGUGAAAUACAUGUAUAUAGUAGGUGAAAUACUUGUAUAUUAGGUGAAAUACUUGUAUAUGCAAGCAUUUCACUUGCUAUAUACAAGUAUCUCGUCAGCAAAAACUUCCCCAUAUCAACAGAUACACGUUCUGUAAAGCCGUUUAUGUGGAGUGUCUAGCCUACAAAUCCCUGCGCAGAUUGUAUCUAAAGAAACAGUGACAAUCUACAGCAAUAAUAUAAACCUGUAAUUUGCCUUGUAGCCCGAGCUACUGUCAAAGCUGCGGUUAUAGAAAAUAAAUCUCAACACCUUCCGACCAAUCGGAUUUGAGAUUUCGACAGGGCUAUAAUAAUGUAAUAAUAAUCAGGUUUCGUCGUGUGUCUUAGUAAUGAUAUAUCGACUCAGCCCUAGUUCGGUUUUCCGUUUUCGUUUAAUGCUCUUAGCAUACCAGUGUGGUUCAUUAUAAUGUGCCAUCCAAACACUGUCAUAAAGUUUUUGGCUAUGGAUGGCUCACAGCACUGGGAAGUGAUGUGUAUGUGUGUGUGUGUGUAUGUGUGUGUGUGUGUGUGUUAAUUAGAGGUCGUGCAGGGAGAGAGGCUUGAGAUUCCACACACUCAAGGCCUCUGAAUCAAACAACCUGGUGCUUUUUGGUGGUUUUUUUUGCACUUUCAUGCCAAC
ensembl:lncRNA